rnacentral:rRNA from 1 species
UACGUAGGGUGCGAGCGUUGUCCGGAAUUAUUGGGCGUAAAGGGCUCGUAGGCGGUCUGUCGCGUCGGGAGUGAAAACUCAGGGCUUAACCCUGAGCCUGCUUCCGAUACGGGCAGACUAGAGGUAUGCAGGGGAGAACGGAAUUCCUGGUGUAGCGGUGGAAUGCGCAGAUAUCAGGAGGAACACCAGUGGCGAAGGCGGCCUGCUGGGCAGUGGCUGACGCUGAGGCGCGACAGCGUGGGGAGCAAACAGG